GUUUAGUUAUGGAGAAGAGAAUAGGCAUGUGUUGUGGUAAUUGAAGAAAGGAGAAGGGAUAAAGGGUCGGCAACCCUACAGAAGCACCCUUUAGUCCUUUAGCGAGACAUCCGAGCCGAGUGCCUAAAUUCUUUUUUUCCCUUUCUUUUCUUUCUUCUUUGAGGCUUUGCGAUCGGCUGAUACGACAUACCUAACCACUAUGCAGGACGAUUCAACAUCUUUUCUGAAUAAUUCUUUGAAAGAACGUACAAAUAAGAAAACCUUGGCAAGACAAUGUUAUGAAACGCAAUACGAUUUCUAUCGAACCUAAGCUCCUUCCUUUAAUACAAUAAUCGAUAUAUCGCGGAAUAUUUUCUUCGCAGAACAAAUAAUAAAUAACGAAUCGUCUUUAUACGAAACCUUUUCUUAUUUAUAUUUCUGUAACAGAUUUUAAAGAUUGACUCUUCCAAAGAAAUGCCACACAGCUCGUUAAAUUCUUCCUAAGAAAUUCUUAAGACUCUUCGUACAAAAGACGCGUAUUACACGCGGAUAAUUAUAAAAAGUUUCCCCGGCUAACGAUCCCCUGAAAGAAAUAUUAGAAAUACCUCAUCGUUGGUCUCAUUAUCCACAAAAACUAUAGAAAAACCGAGGAAUGCGAUAAAUGAAGAGCUUAUAAAAUACGCAUGGGAAUGUUAAAACUUAUCGAACAGAAAUGCACAUCGAUGGAAGUAUUAAAUAAAACCUGAUACAAUAUUUAAAACGCAAAUCAAACUGAUCGAUGAUAAAAAAAUUAUUUGUAUGAAAUAAAGAAUCACACUUUAACGAGUUUAAUCGACGCUUCCAGAAAAAUGAGAAACACUGUUUAGGGUUAUUGGGUUACAGUUUCACGCUCACGGUGGUCUGUCACCUUCCCAUACAACCUUCGCAAAGCAGCGAACACGUCUUCAAUAAUCGACAGAAAUAAUUCUCACCGCAAAAGAUAUUUAAUUCCUCGUUCAAACUUGACGUUCACGUUACUCGAUAUUACGCCAUCGUUCGAAUUUUUACCGCCAAACCAUGCAACCAACUUCACGUAAUAGCACAAAAAAAGUAAUAACUAAUCGAUACCUAUUUUGAUUCUCGAAUUGAACUUUUAGAUUUUUCCCUCUUCGAACCAUUCUACCGUUUCAACGGUUCAUAGACAUUAAAACUGGACGUGAAUGAAUAAAAAGAAAAAUGGAAAAAGGGAAAGGAAGGACGUGCGAAAUUCGGCGCCCGAUAGCGCCACGACGCUGCAUUCUCAAGGAAAAUAAACCGUUCGCCGUCUGACUAUUUGAUUUAUGAACGCGGGCGACAACCUACCGCACGGCAUACCGAAAUAGAUCAAGAGGAGAACCAUUGCAGUGUAUGCGAGAGGUAAAUCUGUCUCGAGAACAACCACUGAACUUUCAUUUUUAUGGAAUAUUGAUAGGAUGUUUAUUUAUACCUUUUAUUUGGUAACUUGUCUGAAAAAAAGAUUGAAAAAGGAAGAACGAAAACACCGUGACAGGACUCGUGGAGAGUUCAAGUCAUUAUCUAAAGUGACCCGUGGAUUAAUUUGCAGAGCAAGUUCGUAUGCACAUGGAAGUCGGAAAGGGAAGGAGGGAGAAUGUUGAAAAACGCGGUAAAAGUACUCGACAUGUGACGAACAGACCGUGAAGGAAGGCAAGGUACACAUACACCGUGGUACAACAAAUCUAUGCAGUGUCUUAUAAAUUCUAAUAAAUUACCAGGGAUGCUGCGAUCUAUUUUUUGAAAAAAAAUCAAUAUAUCAAUUAUAAAAUUUUAAUUAUAAAAAGCACUGCUAAGGUUAACGUUGAUAAAUGAAUUUCUUCGAUUAAGUUUCCUUCACCUUCUUCAUUCUUAUAUUCUUUGUAGCAUGACUAUUACUUCCGUUUGUGAACUGUUCCAUCCGAGCAGGUAGAAGUAAGAAAAGGAUAAUGCGUGUGAGGUGACAUGAUAAUGGAAUUACUGUCGUGUGAAAGAGUACAACAGGCUCAAAUGAACAAAAUUAUUUUUUGACAAAUAAGAAAGUACCCGAUGAAACAGAAUUACACGAGGCUUUGUCAAAUCACAAAAGAUAUCUCAAAUAAAUCACCCUGUAUAUAAAUAUGCACGCAUGUACACCGCGUGGGCGCUAACCAUUAAGGUGUUGUUACGACAUCAGUCACAGAGUACACCCGUUUGUAAAUACCACUUUACACAAAACACAUUUAAACGCGCGUAUAUUGCCCGAUCAUUCCGUAUUUGGGGCUACUAGCAUUAGAGUGGAUCUUCGUACCUCGAAGGCACAUCAUAAACAGGCGCAUACCGGAACACGUACGAAGCAACAAAAAACACAAAAAUCGAUUCUAAAUUUAAUUCGAUAAUCUAGAAGCAAGAAUGAUGAAUUAUUAUUGUCGGUUUACUGUUUACAGGAAUCUAUAAUUAUUUCACAGUUUACUGCACAGCGAUAGAAUCGUAUCUCACAAUCAACCAAAGUUAACUGGUUUAUUUGAAGAACGCACCCUUUUAAGACCCCCUUUCAUACUUCUCCAUGACGAUAAGCCGGAAAUGGAUCUUUAUACUUAACUAGUCCGACGACGUAAUCUCUAACGUUAAGAGAUUAGCAAACGGAAAAUCGCAGAAUGGUCUCGUAAAUAUUUGCCUACUUACUAUCAUGAGGCGAGAUGCAAACACUAGCAACCGUAAAACGAUACGCAGUGAUGUUUUCCUGUUUUCGUGUUCAUCGAUAAAACAUCAGAGAAAAUGUAAAAAUUUAUGUUACAUUUGCAUUUAUAAAAUUUAGUAACAAAGUGUAUUCUCUCUCUACUUGUAAGUAACAAUAACAUCCUGUAUAGACACUACAUUUUUGCUUUCAUCUGCGCGAGUACCAGACAUUCAAAUCACUUUCUAAUAAUAUAAUACUUAAAUAGAACUUAAUGUAACUGUACUGUUCUCGAUACUGAUCAAAGUAAGUGACGUUUUUUAAAGAUAAAAAUAUA